CAUUACCGCCAUCUACUAGACUGGAGUAUAACUCUGUUAGGAAAUUAUGAUUAAUAUGACUGAACAAAUCAUUUUAAAUGGAACUGUAAGUAAACUUAUACUCUGUUAUAUUAUGUUUAAUAGACAAUAUGAGUUCAUAAGAAGAAAUUGUGUGACAGGAGAAAGGAGUAAUAAAAUGUUAAAGAACACCAUUCCAACUGGGCAGGAACAAAUGGGUUGGGGACUGUGUAAACACAUAAGGUCGUUAGCCUAUGGUUGACCCAACCUGAAACUUAGCUCUGGGGUUUUUAGAUUAGGCAGUGAGUGCAUUCCUAGGGUUUCUGUUAAUUAAAACUGUCAGUUCAGUGGUGAUCGAUAAUGUUGAGGGGUCAAAAGUUAUCUGGAGAGUGUGUUAGUAAGGUAGAACGAACUUUUCACCUUACUUUGUCCUGUCGAGAGGAGGGGGUUCGGUUAAGGCAGUGAAAUGACGUCAUGAUCUGUAUUUAAACUGAUGCAUGUGUUUGAGUGGUAGCGCGCUCCGAGAAUAAAUUCUAUUACCUAUUAUUGAAAGACUGGUCUGCGUCUAUUUUAUGCAAACAAGAAAUCUUACAAAUUCUCAUAAAAUAGAUUAAGGGCUUUCAAUUGAUGAAAGCACAUUGGCAUAAUUAAAUUAUAUUAACAAUUGGUCCUUCGAGUGGAUUCCACAAACUUCUCUGUCGUCCGAAGGGAAAAGCCGAAAACCGUGCGCACGGACGAGGCUGAACUCGUUUAAAAGUCCUGGCCUCCACCAGAGGUUUAAUAACAGGCCGGUAUAUAUAUCUUAGGUCGACAGAGAACGUGACGGAAUCGAACCGGCAUUGCUUUUCCCAGUCUACAGGACGAAGAUUUUAUGCACUACAGGUGAAUUACAGGUGAAGUCACUCAAUCCAGUCCCUGAGGCCUGUUGGGGGGACCAUACCAAGGACUCCUGGUGACAGCUAGCAGAAAGAACUACCCGGAUUCAUAUCACAUUGCGGGAGGUUAAGACACUCUGACACUGUCGAACAAUAACAGAGUUCGAGAGGAGAACUGGAAUUAACAGAAUUCUUGGGGCCAUCUCUCGAAUGAAAAAUACCUUACCUGUCCUUUCCUCACUGUUCUUGUUCAUAGAAGUGAAAAUGUGUCUGACUCUUGCUAAUGAUGUGUUUUCUGGAAGAGGGUGGGGCUUUAUAGGUGAGCUGUCCAUCCUAAGCUGUAUGGUUGGAGAUCUUAUUCCUACAACAUGAACCCGAGAAGGCCAGAGGGUAAUAUUGACAUAAUUAAACGAGAAAUUAGUAUUAACCAAGCAUAAGAGAUUACUUGAUCUGGAUAAACAGGAAGUGAGAGUAGGAUAGGGAGGGAUGUCUCAGUGGAGUUCUAUGUAAACCAAGUGGUGUCUGACUCCUUGGCAGUACAGGACUAAGAGUAGCUAUCAUGGAAGACAUAUAUGCAAGUCUCUGUGUAGUUCAUGGAAACAAGUUAUAGCUCACACCAUGUGAGAAGGCUACAUAAAUCUACAUACCCAGCAUGGAAGGAGAUGGAGUGUAGUGAAAGUAAGGGUUUCAGUUGAUAACCUAGUGCAUUCCAGGUAGAAAAAGUUAAGAGCAGCUGGUUGCUCUAUAGGCAGCAGAAUACAAGCAUGGUCCCUGACAAAGCAGAUACUGACUGUGGAGUUGUCCAGAGCCAAGAGCCGGUGUGGAUAGUUCAGAAAUGGAAUUAUUCACCUAAGGGAACAGCCUGUAUGGUAAAGCUAUUCAUGGAAGCAGGAAAGCCAGAUAAUAAGUUGUAUGGAUUUGCACUAUUUAUAUCCACAUGUUCCUCUGAAAUCUGAGCUUCCUCCUUUCACAGAGGCAACGGGAGACUGUUUAUUGUUUAAUUCAGUAUAGUACUCCUGAGAAAUAUGUGAGGUAAAAUCAGUACUGCAAUAGGACAGAUAAUGUUACUUCUGAUGCGACCAAUGAGUGAUUUGGCAGACUGGUUGAGAUCUGGGGAUUUCAGUAAGAUAAGGAGGCUCAGGGCUCACAUCUGUUGAAUGUGUGGGAGAAUGACAUGAUGGCGGAGUAUUACUGGCUAAUUGAACAGAGGUAUGUGUACUGAAACAUUUUGAGAAUGCCUUUUACGCUCAUUCAACACCAUGACAUGGUGUUGACUGAACGGGAGAAAAGAAGUACUCCGACUGGGUCUUUUGAUGAUAGGGUUUGUAUUAAUAACAUUGUGGAUCCAAGGGUGGCAGAUGAGAUCAAAGCUAUAAAUUAGAUCCUGGCAGGAUUAGAGUCAAGUAUUUUUUGGUGGUCCACUCUCAAUGAGAAUGUGGAUUGGAUCGAUUAUAUCUAUUAAAAAUCCACAGUGCUUCACCAAUUAUUUUAGAGAUGUAAUGAAUGACUUGGCAGAAUAGAAUAGUCUUGGAUGUUUGCUGGCUGAAGAGGGUGGGUGUGUAUAGGUAAUUUGACUCCGGGAUAUACAGUUAGGAUGGAUCAGUGACCAAGGCCUUGUCUGGUUUACACACCCUAGUUCACGAGUUGGAAAUAAACUCAGGGGUGGAUACUUCUUUGGCUAAUUGGGUUGACUGUGUGUUUGAAAGAUGGAAAAAUGUUAUGAUUACUGUGUUAUGGGCUACCUUCACCUGUGUGACUAUGUUAGUUUUGUACGGACGUGGUUGAUUGCGUGUAUGUAUGAAAGUUAUCAUUUCCAGGACUCUGGAGAAAUCGAUGACACUUCAGAUGGAGAUAUAUGGACCAAUCCUAAGCUCUGACCAGUGGAAUACAAAAUACAUGGCUUGGACGUAAUAGAAGAAUCCGGAUCCUUUCACUCGCGAGGAGACCAUAUUUGAUGUUUAGGAAAUUUAGAUGUUUUCUUAUUUCAAUGUAUAGACUGUUUUUUCAUGGAGAUUAACAGAAAAUCCUGAUAAGUAGAAUUAAGAUUCUGAUGUAGGAUAGAACAGUCAUGGAAGUUGAUUAUGUACAUACAUGUAUUGGUUGUCUUCUUUUAGUAUAUCAUUGAUAUUUCCAUGUAGUGUUUAAUGUUGGUAUGAGUUAAGUCAUUUUGAGGGUGGAUUGUUAGGAAAUUAUGAUUAAUAUGACUGAACAAAUCAUUUUAAAUGGAACUGUAAGUAAACUUAUACUCUGUUAUAUUAUGUUUAAUAGACUAUAUGAGUUCAUAAGAAGAAAUUGUGUGACAGGAGAAAGGAGUAAUAAAAUGUUAAAGAACACCAUUCCAACUGGGCAGGAACAAAUGGGUUGGGGACUGUGUAAACACAUAAGGUCGUUAGCCUAUGGUUGACCCAACCUGAAACUUAGCUCUGGGGUUUUUAGAUUAGGCAGUGAGUGCAUUCCUAGGGUUUCUGUUAAUUAAAACUCAGUUCAGUGGUGAUCGAUAAUGUUGAGGGGUCAAAAGUUAUCUGGGAGUGUGUUAGUAAGUUAGAAUGAACUUUUCACCUUACUUUGUCCUGUCGAGAGGAGGGGGUUCGGUUAAGGCAGUGAAAUGACGUCAUGAUCUGUAUUUAAACUGAUGCAUGUGGUUGAGUGGUAGCGCGCUCCGAGAAUAAAUUCUAUUACCUAUUAUUGAAA